UACAGAGGAGCCAAGCGUUGUCCGGAUUGACUGGGCGUAAAGCGCACGCAGGCGGUUGCGCGCGGGGGGUGUGAAAUCUGGCCGCUUAACGGCCAGGCGCCAUCCCAUACGGCGCGACUGGAGCGAUGCAGAGGUCGGUGGAAUUCCGGGUGUAGCGGUGGAAUGCGUAGAGAUCCGGAAGAACACCGGUGGCGAAGGCGGUCUGCUGGGCAGUUGCUGACACUGAUGCGCGACAGCGUGGGGAGCAAACAGG
rnacentral:rRNA from 1 species